rnacentral:tRNA from 1 species
GGUCCCAUAGCUCAGCUGGAUAGAGCACUUCCCUCCUAAGGAAGGGGUCGCGCGUUCGAAUCGCGCUGGGGCCA